UACAGAGGUCUCAAGCGUUGUUCGGAUUCAUUGGGCGUAAAGGGUGCGUAGGUGGCGCCGUAAGUCGGGGUGUGAAAUUUCGGAGCUUAACUCCGAAACUGCAUUCGAUACUGCGGUGCUUGAGGACUGGAGAGGAGACUGGAAUUCAUGGUGUAGCAGUGAAAUGCGUAGAGAUCAUGAGGAAGACCAGUGGCGAAGGCGGGUCUCUGGACAGUUCCUGACACUGAGACACGAAGGCCAGGGGAGCAAACGGG
rnacentral:rRNA from 1 species